AUGUUACAGUUUUGUUAUUUUUUGCAAGAAAUUUUGCUUGAGUCUGUUAGAGUUCUGUUAAUUUACUUUUCCAUCGAUUUUUUGCUUGCAACUGAAGUUGUUUUGAUUGAGUCCAUACUACUGGAUUGGUUAAUUGCAGGGCUGCUUUUGAAAUUUGGCUAA